rfam:Triticum urartu cultivar G1812 contig124711, whole genome shotgun sequence.
GUAUUACUCCCUCUGUCCGAAAAAAAUUGUCCCAAACUUAUCUCUUAAAUGGAUAUAUCUAGCACUAAUUUGGUGUUAGAUACAUCUAAUUGAGGGAUAAACUUUUUCAGACAGAGAAAGUACUUC